UUUAUUUUGAUUACCUUUUAUUUAAAAACUAUAAAACAUGGUUCGUCAGUGCCAAAUUUGUAAGAAAUUGGACUAUUUAAGUCCUGGAACAACAUUCCACAGAUUAUGCUGCCAAAGUUUCCUGAAUACAAUUCCGACCACUCUGUAUAUCAAGAUAUCCCCCAUUACGUACUAGUUUUUCUUAAUAAUUUUCUAUACAUUUUCCAACGCCAAGAUGUACCAAGCGCAUACAAAUACAUCAAGCUUCAAACAAGCUUGCACGUUGACAGUAAUACCUACAGUAAUAUUGUAUUAUAUUAAUGUAAUAUUUUUGAACCAAUGUUCAAUAUUACUGUAGUAAUACUGUUUAUACUCAUGCCUUUUAUAUUUGUUUGAAUUUGGUGCAUAUUUCCAUUGAAUAAAGUAUAGUCACCAUUACCAUUAUUAUACUUACUCUAUAAUAAAGACAGUAACGAGUUAAA